rfam:Eutrema salsugineum unplaced genomic scaffold scaffold_15, whole genome shotgun sequence.
AAGCCAUGAUGGGGGCAGUCUCGCUGGUAAAACUUAAAUCUCACCCAAGAAGCUUUGAACGCCUCAGUUGGUUCUUGAGAGAAUGUCGAGAUUUUUGUUCUCAAUUC